rnacentral:rRNA from 1 species
CUACGGGUUGCUCCAGUGAGGAAUAUUGCACAAUGGGGGGAACCCUGAUGCAGCAACGCCGCGUGGAGGAUGACGCAUUUCGGUGUGUAAACUCCUUUUAUAUGUCAAGAAAAUGACGGUAGCAUAUGAAUAAGCACCGGCUAACUCCGUGCCAGCAGCCGCGGUAAUACGGAGGGUGCAAGCGUUAAUCGGAAUCACUGGGCGUAAAGGACGCGUAGGCGGGUUGGAAAGUCAGGUGUGAAAUCCUACGGCUCAACUGUAGAACUGCACUUGAAACUUCUAAUCUAGAGUAUGGGAGGGGGAGAUGGAAUUAGUGGUGUAGGGGUAAAAUCCGUAGAUAUCACUAGGAAUACCUAAAGCGAAGGCGAUCUCCUGGAACAUUACUGACGCUAAGGCGUGAAAGCGUGGGGAGCAAACAGGAUUAGAUACCCGAGUAGUC